UAGGCUCUUUGGGGACUGGGCUGGCUGCUCAGACUCUAUUAAUGGGGUUUCCCUGGAGAUGGGGUCUGAGUGCACCAGAUGGUGAGCAAGAUGGUGUCACAGUCCCAACUUCUCAUCUUCCUGGUGCUCUGGGUCUCAGGUGCCAGUGGGGACAUCACACUGACCCAGUCUCCAGACUCUGCGGCUGGGUCUCAAGGAGAGACUGUCACCAUCAGAUGCAAGUCCAGCCAGAGUGUUAGCAACUACUUACACUGGUACCAGCAGAAACCUGGACAGGCUCCUAAACUGCUCAUCUAUGCUGCAUCCACCCGGGCAUCUGGGGUCCCCGACCGAUUCACUGGCAGUGGGUCUGGGACAGAUUUCACUCUCACCAUCAACAAGUUCCAGCCUGAGGAUGUGGCAAGUUAUUACUGUCAGCAAAGUAGUAGCUAUCCUCCCACAGUGUUUCAGCCUCAAACAAAAAUCUCCUCCCCAGGGCUGUAGGUCCAUGAGACCAGUAGCACCAGCUGCUUCCUCCUCACAGAGACCUGAAAUCAUUCACUUUCUCC